rnacentral:rRNA from 1 species
UGCAGUCGAGCGGUAGAGAGAGCUUGCUUCUCUUGAGAGCGGCGGACGGGUGAGUAAUGCCUAGGAAUCUGCCUGGUAGUGGGGGAUAACGUUCGGAAACGGACGCUAAUACCGCAUACGUCCUACGGGAGAAAGCAGGGGACCUUCGGGCCUUGCGCUAUCAGAUGAGCCUAGGUCGGAUUAGCUAGUUGGUGAGGUAAUGGCUCACCAAGGCGACGAUCCGUAACUGGUCUGAGAGGAUGAUCAGUCACACUGGAACUGAGACACGGUCCAGACUCCUACGGGAGGCAGCAGUGGGGAAUAUUGGACAAUGGGCGAAAGCCUGAUCCAGCCAUGCCGCGUGUGUGAAGAAGGUCUUCGGAUUGUAAAGCACUUUAAGUUGGGAGGAAGGGCAGUAAAUUAAUACUUUGCUGUUUUGACGUUACCGACAGAAUAAGCACCGGCUAACUCUGUGCCAGCAGCCGCGGUAAUACAGAGGGUGCAAGCGUUAAUCGGAAUUACUGGGCGUAAAGCGCGCGUAGGUGGUUUGUUAAGUUGGAUGUGAAAUCCCCGGGCUCAACCUGGGAACUGCAUUCAAAACUGACUGACUAGAGUAUGGUAGAGGGUGGUGGAAUUUCCUGUGUAGCGGUGAAAUGCGUAGAUAUAGGAAGGAACACCAGUGGCGAAGGCGACCACCUGGACUAAUACUGACACUGAGGUGCGAAAGCGUGGGGAGCAAACAGGAUUAGAUACCCUGGUAGUCCACGCCGUAAACGAUGUCAACUAGCCGUUGGAAGCCUUGAGC